rnacentral:rRNA from 1 species
UACGUAGGGUGUGAGCGUUAAUCGGAAUUACUGGGCGUAAAGUGUGCGCAGGCGGCCAUGCAAGUCGAGUGUGAAAGCCCCGGGCUUAACUUGGGAAUUGCGCUCGAAACUACGUGGCUGGAGUGUGGCAGAGGAAGGUGGAAUUCCACGUGUAGCGGUGAAAUGCGUAGAGAUGUGGAGGAACACCAAUGGCGAAGGCAGCCUUCUGGGCCAACACUGACGCUCAUGCACGAAAGCGUGGGGAGCAAACAGG